UACGUAGGGUGCAAGCGUUGUCCGGAAUCACUGGGCGUAAAGGGAGCGUAGGCGGGCUUCUAAGUUAGGUGUUUAAUCCCGGGGCCCAACCCCGGUCGUGCACUUAAAACUGGAAGUCUUGAAUAGUGGAGAGGUCAGUGGAAUUGGGGGUGUAGCGGUGGAAUGCGUAGAGAUCCCCAAGAACACCAGUUGCGAAGGCGGCUGACUGGACACAUAUUGACGCUGAGGCUCGAAAGCAUGGGGAGCAAACAGG
rnacentral:rRNA from 1 species